rnacentral:rRNA from 1 species
UACGUAGGGGGCAAGCGUUGUCCGGAAUCAUUGGGCGUAAAGCGCGUGUAGGCGGCUCGAUAAGUCUGCUGUGAAAGUCCAAGGCUCAACCCUGGAAUGCCGGUGGAAACUGUCGAGCUCGAGUCCGGAAGAGGCGAGUGGAAUUCCUGGUGUAGCGGUGAAAUGCGCAGAUAUCAGGAGGAACACCAAUGGCGAAGGCAGCUCGCUGGGACGGUACUGACGCUGAGACGCGAAAGCGUGGGGAGCAAACAGG